CACUGGGUUAUUUUUAUCCAAGGUCUGUUACUUAAUCUUGUUUCCAUGAUUGCCCACAUGCUUUUAUUUGCACGUUACGGAGAGAGUAGGAGCAUGUGGUGUGAAGGAUGACAAGUAGAAAUAGAAACUAAAGCUACAGCUUUAGAGGUAGUGAAUGAAGCUAGUUGGUAUCUCUCUUGGCAAAUAAAAAGAAAUGGAAGAGAACUAAAGUCAUCCUUUGACCCACCAAAAUGGACUUUUACACUGAGAACAGUUCCAUAUAAACAGGACAAGUAUAAACCAGUGCUGGAAAAACAUUCUUUAUUCACGGUGAACAAACUGACCAAAGAACCGUGUGAGCUGCCUUAUGUGGAAGAAAAUUAAUGAAGCGUUUUUGGGGUGAUGACUGCACAUUUUUACCAGUGUCAAGUCCUCCGUUGAAUUUGAAUGUUUUCAGUCUGAAGAUGAGCAGUAAAGGACAACAUAGAUGUCAGAGACAGGAGUCUGGUCUGGUAGGCUGUUGAACAUCAUCUGCAGCAUGGGACUACAGUCUAUAUCCAAGAAGCAGGGUCCUUUCUUACAGGUGGCAAGAUGCAAAACACAUUUUCCAGUAUCUUCUUGAGCAGAUAUAGGGAACAAAGUAAAAUCAAAG
rnacentral:lncRNA from 1 species